ACUCAAAGGAAUAGACGGGAGCCCGCACAAGCAGUGGAGUAUGUUGUUUAAUUCGACGCAACGCGAAGAACCUUACCAGGUCUUGACAUCCAUCGGACCGGUCGUAAUGGACCGGGUGCCCUUCGGGGAACGAUGAGACAGGUAGUGCAUGGUUGUCGUCAGCUCGUGUCGUGAGAUGUUGGGUUAAGUCCCGCAACGAGCGCAACCCUUGCGGAUAGUUGCUAGGCAGAGAUGCAAGCACUCUAUUCGGACUGCCGUUGACAAAACGGAGGAAGGCGGGGAUGAUGUCAAAUCAUCAUGCUCUUUAUGAUCUGGGCCACAAACGUACUACAAUGGCGCGAACAACGGGCAGCGAAGGCGCGAGCCGGAGCCAAUCCCCAAAACGCGUCCCAGUUCAGAUUGCAGGCUGCAACUCGCCUGCAUGAAGUCGGAAUUGCUAGUAAUCGCGGAUCAGCAUGCCGCGGUGAAUACGUUCCCGGGCUUUGUACACACCGCCCGU
rnacentral:rRNA from 1 species